AAGAAAUCAACCGAGAUUCCCCCAGUAGCGGCGAGCGAACGGGGAGCAGCCCAGAGCCUGAAUCAGUGUGUGUGUUAGUGGAAGCGUCUGGAAAGGCGCGCGAUACAGGGUGACAGCCCCGUACACAAAAAUGCACAUGCUGUGAGCUCGAUGAGUAGGGCGGGACACGUGGUAUCCUGUCUGAAUAUGGGGGGACCAUCCUCCAAGGCUAAAUACUCCUGACUGACCGAUAGUGAACCAGUACCGUGAGGGAAAGGCGAAAAGAACCCCGGCGAGGGGAGUGAAAAAGAACCUGAAACCGUGUACGUACAAGCAGUGGGAGCACGCUUAGGCGUGUGACUGCGUACCUUUUGUAUAAUGGGUCAGCGACUUAUAUUCUGUAGCAAGGUUAACCGAAUAGGGGAGCCGAAGGGAAACCGAGUCUUAACUGGGCGUUAAGUUGCAGGGUAUAGACCCGAAACCCGGUGAUCUAGCCAUGGGCAGGUUGAAGGUUGGGUAACACUAACUGGAGGACCGAACCGACUAAUGUUGAAAAAUUAGCGGAUGACUUGUGGCUGGGGGUGAAAGGCCAAUCAAACCGGGAGAUAGCUGGUUCUCCCCGAAAGCUAUUUAGGUAGCGCCUCGUGAAUUCAUCUCCGGGGGUAGAGCACUGUUUCGGCAAGGGGGUCAUCCCGACUUACCAACCCGAUGCAAACUGCGAAUACCGGAGAAUGUUAUCACGGGAGACACACGGCGGGUGCUAACGUCCGUCGUGAAGAGGGAAACAACCCAGACCGCCAGCUAAGGUCCCAAAGUCAUGGUUAAGUGGGAAACGAUGUGGGAAGGCCCAGACAGCCAGGAUGUUGGCUUAGAAGCAGCCAUCAUUUAAAGAAAGCGUAAUAGCUCACUGGUCGAGUCGGCCUGCGCGGAAGAUGUAACGGGGCUAAACCAUGCACCGAAGCUGCGGCAGCGACGCUUAUGCGUUGUUGGGUA
rnacentral:rRNA from 1 species